GGAUAGAGGCGCGGGAUUUAUCAGUAGCCUUCACGGUCCGGCAGAGGGAAGCCGGGAUACCGUGGAGGUGAAAGGAAAUUUCGCCGAAGGAGCUUACGCGCCCCGCGCAGCUCCUGGGACGCCGUAAAAUAUGCGGCGUACUGUCACAUUAAGUGGAGCACUAUCGA
rnacentral:ncRNA from 1 species